GCGCGCACACGCUCACACGCUCACAAGCGAACGCAGGAAAGUCGGGCUAAAAGUGUCUGCUGCUGCUGCUGCCGCCCCCUACUCCGCCUCCGGGAGAGACGCUGGUGUCAUCUGUGGACCCUCUGGGGUUAAAAAUCCAUGGACACAAUUUCUAAACCCUAUUUCAGUUCCAGCCUCCUAUGGUCUUAGUGACUAUAACAUCAACACCUUCUUUGAUGUCAGCCCAGUGUGGUGCUGUGCCAGCUAUUUUCUGACAGUUGCCUUGAAAUUUUAUUAUUGUA
rnacentral:lncRNA from 1 species